rnacentral:lncRNA from 10 species
AUAUGUUAAAUAUAUACUGUAUUCUUAAAAUAAGCUAAUGAAAAAAUGUUAUUAGAAAAUCAUAGGUGUGAGCCACCACUCCUGGUCCCAUCUCUACUAAAAAUAAAAAAAUUAGCCGGGCAUGGUGGUGGGCACUUGUAAUCCCAGCUACUUUGGAGACUGAGGCAGGAGAAACACUUGAACCCAGGAGGUGGAGGUUGCAGUGAGCCUAAGUCACGCCAUUGCACCCUAGACUGGGUGACAGAGUGAGACCCUGUCUCAAAAAAAAAGAAGAAAACCAAAAACAAAAUCAUAAGGAAGAGAAAAUAUAUGUACUGUUCAUUAAGUGGAAGUGGUUCAUAUGUCUUCAUCCUCGUAGUCUUCGUGUUGAGUAGGCUGAGGAAGAAGGGGGAUUGGUUUUGCCAUGGCACGAGAAGAGGUGGA